rnacentral:rRNA from 1 species
GCAGUCGAGCGAGCAGACUAACAGAUCUACUUCGGUAGUGACGUUUCGGAAGCGAGCGGCGGAUGGGUGAGUAACACGUGGGUAACCUGCCCUUAAGUCUGGGAUACCAUUUGGAAACAGGUGCUAAUACCGGAUAACAACAUUGAUCGCAUGAUCGAUGCUUGAAAGGCGGCGUAAGCUGUCGCUAAAGGAUGGACCCGCGGUGCAUUAGCUAGUUGGUAAGGUAACGGCUUACCAAGGCAACGAUGCAUAGCCGAGUUGAGAGACUGAUCGGCCACAUUGGGACUGAGACACGGCCCAAACUCCUACGGGAGGCAGCAGUAGGGAAUCUUCCACAAUGGGCGAAAGCCUGAUGGAGCAACGCCGCGUGAGUGAAGAAGGUUUUCGGAUCGUAAAGCUCUGUUGUUGGUGAAGAAGGAUAGAGGUAGUAACUGGCCUUUAUUUGACGGUAAUCAACCAGAAAGUCACGGCUAACUACGUGCCAGCAGCCGCGGUAAUACGUAGGUGGCAAGCGUUGUCCGGAUUUAUUGGGCGUAAAGCGAGCGCAGGCGGAAGAAUAAGUCUGAUGUGAAAGCCCUCGGCUUAACCGGGGAAGUGCAUCGGAAACUGUUUUUCUUGAGUGCAGAAGAGGAGAGUGGAACUCCAUGUGUAGCGGUGGAAUGCG